rnacentral:rRNA from 1 species
AGAGCGAACGCUGGCGGCAUGCUUAACACAUGCAAGUCGCACGGGCAUUUCGGUGUCAGUGGCGGACGGGUGAGUAACGCGUAGGUAUCUAUCCUUGGGUGGGGGAUAACGGUUGGAAACGACUGCUAAUACCGCAUGAUAACUGAGGUUUAAAGGCGCAAGUCGCCUGGGGAGGAGCCUGCGUACGAUUAGCUUGUUGGUGGGGUAAAGGCCUACCAAGGCGACGAUCGUUAGCCGGUCUGAGAGGAUGAUCAGCCACAUUGGGACUGAGACACGGCCCAAACUCCUACGGGAGGCAGCAGUGGGGAAUAUUGGACAAUGGGCGAAAGCCUGAUCCAGCAAUGCCGCGUGUGUGAAGAAGGUCUUCGGAUUGUAAAGCACUUUCGACAGGGACGAUGAUGACGGUACCUGUAGAAGAAGCCCCGGCUAACUUCGUGCCAGUAGCCGC